rnacentral:rRNA from 1 species
UGAGCAAUCUGCCCUUCUCAUCGGAAUAAGCGUUGGAAACGACGUCUAAUGCCGAAUACGACCUCCUUUCGCAUGAUCGGAGGUGGAAAGCUCCGGCGGAGAAGGAUGAGCUCGCGGCCUAUCAGCUAGUUGGUGUGGGUAAUGGCCCACCAAGGCGACGACGGGUAGCCGGCCUGAGAGGGUGACCGGCCACACUGGGACUGAGACACGGCCCAGACUCCUGNGGAGG